rnacentral:lncRNA from 1 species
UCCUCACCAAAGCCAAGAGGGCGACCGCCUAAGGACCCCAAUGCACCUCCAAAACCACCAAAGCCAGUGCAGAUGAAGGUAUCUUCUGGGACUGGAAAACCAAGAGGAAGACCAAGGAAAUUCCCCCAGUCAGCAUCCACGCCAGCUCCUCCGGCACCAAGUGGGAGGCCCAGAGGUCGACCUCCUAAGGUGAAGGCUACAUUGACUGAAGUUAGUGUUCAACAAUAGAUUGUUGCAGUGCAGUUCAUUGGUAGUGCCUUGACUCUCUCUCUCUCACUCUCUCACUCUCUUAUUUGUCUCUGUUGCUGUGUGGGCAGUUUGUAGUUGUAGUG